AUUGAACGCUGGCGGCAGGCCUAACACAUGCAAGUCGAACGAGUGGCGGACGGGUGAGUAAUGUCUGGGAAACUGCCUGAUGGAGGGGGAUAACUACUGGAAACGGUAGCUAAUACCGCAUACCAUCGGAUGUGCCCCGGUGGGCUUAGCUAGUAGGUGGGGUAAAGGCUCACCUAGGCGACGAUACCUAGCUGGUCUGAGAGGAUGACCAGCCACAAUGGAAAUGAGAAACGGUCCAGACGCCGACGGGAGGCAGCAGUGGGGAAUAUUGCACAAUGGGCGCAAGCCUGAUACAGCCAUGCCGAGUGUAUGAAGAAGGCCUUCGGGUUGUAAAGUACUUUCAGCGGGGAGGCGUAACAAGCAGAAGAAGCACCGGCUAACUCCGUGCCAGCAGACGCGGUAAUUC
rnacentral:rRNA from 1 species